CUAGCUGGUCUGAGAGGAUGACCACCCACACUGGAACUGAGACACGGUCCAGACUCCUACGGGAGGCAGCAGUGGGGAAUAUUGCACAAUGGGCGCAAGCCUGAUGCAGCCAUGCCGCGUGUAUGAAGAAGGCCUUCGGGUUGUAAAGUACUUUCAGCGGGGAGGAAGGGAGUAAGGUUAAUACCUUGGUCAUUGACGUACCCG
rnacentral:rRNA from 1 species